CCCUAAAAGCUUUAUAUUUAUAUUUUAAAAAUAAGUACUUUUAUUAAAUUUUAAAAUUAAAAUAUAUUUUACUGGGGUAGUUAUUUUAGUUAAAUUAAUAUCAAUUUAAACACAUUAAUGGUAAUUGUUCCUUUAUAUAAGGGAAUAUAUAAAUAGUUACUUUAGGGAUAACAGCAUAAUAUUUUUGGAGAGAUCUUAUUUAUAGAAAUGAUUGCGACCUCGAUGUUGAAUUAAAAAAACUUUAUAAAGCAGCAU
rnacentral:rRNA from 1 species